GGGGCUGACUGGCUUUGACAGCGUGUAGAGGCGGUAUGUAAGCAUGCAGAGCCAUGACGGAAGGCGCUCUAUAAUCUCCGACGUCGACAAUUUAAAUGGCGAAAAUAACUACGCUCUUGCUGCUUAAUCGAAGUACAGUAGAUUAGCUUAAUCGAUGCAACAGUUGCGUCGACAAGACAUCGCCCGAUUGCCACUCUUUUCCGAGGCUAAUCGAAACGGCGGUGCUCGUAAAUCGGAAAUAGGAGUUUGAAAGCCUCGCGAUAACUCCGAAGCUCUUAGAGGAUAAGGCAUCGGUUGGUAGCAGUUGGCCUGCCGGUGCACCAAAACCAAGUGACUGCUAAGCAUGUAGAAAGCAUAUUGGUUCCACGUUUGGACGAGGGUUCGACCCCCUCCAGCUCCACUU
rnacentral:tmRNA from 1 species